rnacentral:tRNA from 1 species
AGCCCUGCAGUAGACAGUUACGUUGGGUUGCAAACCCAAAACCGGAGAUUAGUUCCUCCUGGGGCUU